GUUAAGUGCUUUCCAUUGUGGCCUUUAACAAAUACUGAAGUUACGAGGGCUCAAGGCUAAAGCCAUAACAGGAAGAAAUGACAAUGAAAUUUGAGAUGGGAUAACAGAUAGCCUUCUCUCUGGAGUCCAUCACAUGUGCUUCUUAGUUAGGUCCCGUAUCCUAGCUAUUUCUAUAACUUUGGCUAGUCUGCCUGCAAAUUCUGAAGUCAACUUGCCAGGUCUUGACGCUUCCUGAUCUUUCAUAAGGAGAACCAUGUUUGAGCACUGGUUUCUGCUCCUUCCAGGUCUCUCCUAUUGCCUUCUGUUUGUGUUCACCUAACUUCACUCCUUAGCUCAAAUUGGUCUAUUUUUGCCCCCAUCGUGAUUGUUAGAUUUCUCCUGGUAACUAAGCAGUUAAAAAAAAAAAAAAAUCCUUUUUGCCUCAAGGUAGAAAUAAGAGUUUAGUGGGGAAAAAAAAUACAGAUGUGACAGGUGUGUGUGUAUUCAAAGAAGCAAUGUGUCUAGUGUCUAGAGACUUUUUCUUGUCUCUAAGCUCUAAACAAUAGAGGAGCUAAGGCACCAGGGUCACUGGCCUGUCAGGGGAUCCAAAUUACAGUUGUUUCUAGUCCACCAUCCUCCAGCUGCUCCCUUGAGCCAGAGCUGUACUGGCUGACUUUGUAGGACAAUGUGGGUAACAUCUGAAAUCUACAAGGCUCUAGAUUUUCCUCUUUUUAGGUAGAGUUCUAGAGUAUGAUGGCCACAUCAGGAAGUCCCUCGCCUUGUCUACUUCCUGUAAGACAAGGAACUUAAGCUCAGAUUCUGUUAGCUAUAGAGAGGUCCAGAGAGCAGGAAGUGCUUGCUAAGGCAGUCUUCUUGAGUAGCAUCCACUAGGAAACAUAGCCCAACAGAGAGCCUCAUCUGUUUGUGAAAGAGGACAAACUAGAAACAUUCACUCAGCCCAGUUUAACCCAACUUUAAACAUGUACAGAAGAGGGAAGUAGUGGGAAGGGGUCAGACACCCUGUAGGAAAUGGGUUUGCCCCCUAACAUUGUAGAGUAAAAUGAGCUUUUCUGACUUGAGCUUGCAUUCUGAUUUUUGCCAAUCAUUAUAUGACCAUAAAUAUGUAAUCUCAUUGAACUGUUUCCUUAUCUGUAAAAUAAGAGUAUAAUACCUACUUCACCAGCUUUUUUAAGGAUCAGGUGAAAUAAUACAUGUAAAGUGAGUAGUGGAGUUCCUGGUACAUGCAGGCGGUUUACACAUGGAAGCCUGCAACCUCAUUUUGUCUGUCUCCUGUCCCUCAUCCCUAAGUUCACAGAGUACACUUUGGUCCCCCUCGUCCCUAAGCUCACAGAGUACACUUGGGUCUUCAUGGGAGUCUAUGUACUUUUUACAACCUUUAGUGUUCAGUCAUCUUAUCACCCUCUAGUGGGAAAAGAUAGUAAUAGAGAAAUAGAUAAAUACGUUUUAAAGGGUUCUCAGGAAGAGGGAGAGCAAAGGAUAAUAAGCUGGAUCCAUUUCUAAUAAAAAUUUAAAAAUAUAACGCAUUUUCAAGGAGAUGCUAUUCACAUGUCUUCCCAGUUGAUAGGCAUGUACCAUUUCCUUCCAUUAGAAUCUGUUGGUUUCUCAAAUGUGCUUCUCCUAAGACAUCUGUGUACUUAAAUGCUUUUUUUUUUUUUCUUUUUUUCUUUUUAGGGCCACACCAGCGGCAUAUGGAGGUUCCCAGGCUAGGGAUCUAAUCGGAGCUACAGCUCCCAGCCUAUGCCACAGCCACAGCCACGCCAUAUCUGAGCCUUGUCUGUAACCUAUACCACAGCUCAUGGCAACGCUGGAUCCUUAACCCACUGAGCAAGGCCAGGGGUCGAACCUGCAACCUUAUGGUUCCUAGUCGGAUUCGUUUCCACUGCCACAGCGGGAACUCCUUAAAUGUCUUCUGAAUUUUACAGUUGGUUGCCAAAAUGAACUUUAGUUUAUGGUCAGUUUCUGAUUAAUUCCUGCUAUUUGCAGUUUUAAAAAUACUUAUAUUUUAAACCGUGGUAGUUCUAAGUGUUGGUCAUGUUUAAACUAUAUCCUAUUCAGUAUAGAUAACUAAAGAUUAUUUUACUUAUGGAUUUUAAUUGUAGACCCCAAAAAAUCUUCCCACAGAAAGGAGAAUUUAGAAAAAUUUUAAUAGUGUUCCAUUGAUUUGUAUUUUAUGCAGAUUAUAAACUUCUCUAAGUAUCCACAAAUAAUACAAAUAGUUAUACUCAAAAUAUUUUGAGACGGAUUAUUUCAUAUGUAUAUAAUUAAGGUAAACAGAUCUUUAUGCAUGGUGUUUUUGUUGGUGAUAGGGAAGAUGAUAUGAAGAGGAUAAAGGGUACAUCAUGAUGGGUUCUGUUUUUACUUUGGUUGGUAACUCCAAAAUCAUGUCUCAGUCUCCCAUCAUUAACCCACACCUCAGCCCUGCAUUUCUAGCUGUCCAUUGGGCAUGCACCUGAGUGAUCCCCUGAAAACUAAAACUACUAUUUCUUUCUUUCUACCGACUUUUUGUUUUCCUCCUCAGAUUUUCUAGUCUCUUAAUAUUCUAGUCUCCUGGUCAUUUAGUGGAAAAUGGUUUGACCUUUUCUUAUCACCUAAGCUUAUGUGUCUGCUGAAGAGUUUAACACAUUUGAACAUCUGAUCUUCCUUUUUCUUACCCCAGGCACUUGUAAGAUGAAAAUUGGAGAGCCAGUGUUUAAUCAUUUUUAGAGAGGGAGUUCCCUGGUGACUCAAUGGAUUAAGGAUCUGGUUUUGUCACUGAUGUGGCUUGGGUUUGAUCCCUGGCCUUGAAAUUUCCUCAUGCCGUGGGCAUGGCCAAAAAAUUUAAAAAAAAAUUUUUUUUUAAUUAAAAAGAAAAAUCUGAAAAGCAUCUUUAAUUUUCUGUGUGCACCAGGCUAUAAUGCCAUGUCCUUGACAGUGUGUUGGCAGUAUGAAUGACUAGAUGAAUUUUUAAAAAUUUUAGUUCUGUAUAGAUCAGUAACCUCAGUCUAAAUAUCUGGUGCCCCAUGAUGAAGCCACAUCUGUAGGUGGACACUUGAGGUCUUUUACAGUCUGACCAGUUUCUUUCUGCCUGCUUUCAUCUCGAUUCCUCCACUUGCUUUUAUGAACCCUGAUUAUCUCCAGCUAGCUGAAUCCUUCAAAAUCCAGGCCAAAUUCCAUCUCUAUCUUUACAUCUUCCUAGAACUGGAAAAUUCCAUUCUUUGAGCUCAUUGUUGGUUCCUAUGUGCAGUUCAUUUUGUAUCGCCUUUUGAGUUUGGGGGUAAGUUUUGCCUUGAGAUGACAUUUAAUUCUUUUAUUUGUUUUGAACAGUAGACAUCUGAUAUAUUUGUCCUGUAGUGCUGAUUCAGGUUGAGAGUUGCAGUUUCACAAUUUGUAAUGCGAACAAUUCUCAUUUCACCUCUUAAGAUAUUCCCAAGCUAAACUAUAAAUUAUAAAUAGGCAUGCCAUUAAGUUUAGCUUAAAACUCAGAUAUUCAGUAUCAAGAGAGUUACACUGAAGAUAACAAUUAAUAGUUCUGGCCUAAGACUCCCCUGAGGAGAAGCUGAUACCCCAGUUUAAGAACCAUGCUGCUAAAGUGUAGAAAUCAACUGAAGGCCACUGGUACCAUCAUUAAAAGUCAUAUUUUAAAGGAAAUUUAAUAAUAGGAAAAGCUUAUAAAUAUAAUACCUACUAAAAAUAUAGAACUCAAAACUGUAUAUAGUGUGAUCCUAACGAUUCUGAAAUAAACAUGUAAUAUUCUAUAUGCAUGGGAAAAGAUCAGAAAGUAUUAAACCAAAUGCUAGGAAUCAUUUCUAAAUGUGGUUGAAUUAUUUCUCUUUUUUGUUACAUACUUUUCAGAACUUCUUAAGCUCAUUACAACAGGCAUAUAUUACUGUUGUUUAUUAGGGGGAAGAAAACCCUAUGUCUACUAGAAACCAGCUCUUAUUCUACUUAGUCUUUUUUCAUGACUUCCAUAAUGUAUAAUGCUCCAAUGGAAGAUUGGAUAAAAAGGCAUCUUUCACAAGGAAGGGCAUUAUGUAAUGAUCUCUUCAUGAAAAUGUAGCUGAGUAUUGUGCACAAAAGCAAUGAACUCCUUAAGAGUGCUUUGUGCAACCAGUUCUUUACAUCUCUAGGACUCAGGGGCCGCCCUGGCAAUUCUCUAAGGUCAGCUAACCACAUUAUUAGAAGAGUAGUGGUUAGCAAGAUGGUAUCUUUCUUUGUUUUUAAGACAUUUAUUUAAUACGUGAUUCCUUUAGAGAGUUAUGUAGAGUAGCCUUGACAGCACUUUUAGCUCUCCCUGAAACAUGAAUCUCUUUCAUUUAAAAAUCCUUCUGUGAGCAGUUUCAGAGUUUGUCUUUUAAAAUACAAUUCUAAAGUGCUUUACCAGGAAGUCACUAGUGCUUUCCCUCCCCACCCAUGUUCCCAAGCCCUCGUUUCUUCAAACCAAUGAACAUUUUUAAAACUGCUUAGGUUUUCCUAAUUUUAAGUCUUCUGAGGUAGAAUUGGGAGGGGACCUUUGAGAUCACCAAGUCCCCACCUGUGCCGAGUAACUGUAUCAAGAGACUCAAGCUUGAAAAUGAAGUCACCACUGGGAAAUACUGCAGUGUAAGGUAGCAUUAUGUUUGCAGACCUUUUUUUAUGUUGACAUCUAUUACUCUUCCUUCUUCCUUGCUCUUUCAUGUAGAACAGUGGCAGCCUUUCUUAUAGAAGACUGUCCUCCCAUUUCUCCCUAAUCUUCUCUCCAAACCUAAUGCCUUCAACAUACUUUCCAGGGUUACCAUCCUCGUGGCCCUUCUCUGGACAAAUUGGCCUUGAAGGGUUGUGUCCUGUAGUCAAAGGUGCUGCUGUAGUACCUUUACUUGUUCUUAAUCUGAACCUCAUCAAUGCAAUGGCAAACACAUUGAUAAAAGUACUCCUACUACUAAUAAACCACUUAGUGAACACUAUUUACUAUGUGCUAGGACACCGUGCUAAAUACUUUAAAUAAAUAUCACUUAAUCUUAACAGUUUGGUUAAUUUUAACAGUUCCAGUAGAUUCUAAUUUUUAUUUCCAUGUCAAAGAUGAGAAAUAAAUGAAAUAAAUAAUUCAUCAGUGGUCAGUCAUCUGAUAAGUAGUGGAGCUAGGAAUUUGAAGCUAGAUCUCAUUCUGGUUCUGAGUUGUUGCACUUUGUUAAAAUUGAAAAAUUCAGUCAAACAGUAUUAGUAAUUUUGGGGGCAAGUGGGCAAUAAAAUAACCCAUAAGGCCACCUAACAUCUGUUUUUAUGCUCCCCCAAAGUUGCCUCAUGGUAUAUUUGACUCAUAUCAUAGUGUAUUAAAAUUCUUUUUCUGUCUCCCUCCUAUUCAAUAUCUUUGAUUUCUUAUUUAUCUUUCUUGAUAGUGCUUAUCAUGUAUAAGACAUCCCAGAACCUAAUAAUUUGUCAGUAAUUAGUGAAUAAACUUUUACAUAUGACUUGCCAGUCCUGGACUACAUGGGUACAUGUUUCAUGUAUCUACGAUCAGUGUAUAUACUGUUUUGCAUUCCUGCUUCUUGUAACAUCCUUGUGCAGGUUUUAUGUAGGCAUAAGUUUUCAACUUCUUUGGGUAAGUACCAGUGAGCAUGAUUGUUGGAUCAAAUAGUAAGCAUAUGUUUAAUUUUAUAAGAAAUUGCCAAACUCC
rnacentral:lncRNA from 1 species